rnacentral:rRNA from 1 species
AGAGUUUGAUCCUGGCUCAGGACGAACGCUGGCGGCGUGCCUAACACAUGCAAGUCGAACGGACGAGGAGAGCUUGCUCUCCGAGUUAGUGGCGAACGGGUGAGUAACGCGUGAGCAACCUGCCUUUCAGAGGGGGACAACGGUUGGAAACGACCGCUAAUACCGCAUGAAGCAUUUUGAGGGCAUCCUCGAAAUGCCAAAGAUUCUAUCGCUGAAAGAUGGGCUCGCGUCUGAUUAGAUAGUUGGUGGGGUAACGGCCUACCAAGUCGACGAUCAGUAGCCGGACUGAGAGGUUGAACGGCCACAUUGGGACUGAGAUACGGCCCAGACUCCUACGGGAGGCAGCAGUGGGGAAUAUUGGGCAAUGGGGGAAACCCUGACCCAGCAACGCCGCGUGAAGGAAGAAGGCUUUCGGGUUGUAAACUUCUUUUACCAGGGACGAAGGACGUGACGGUACCUGGAGAAAAAGCCACGGCUAACUACGUGCCAGCAGCCGCGGUAAUACGUAGGUGGCAAGCGUUGUCCGGAAUUACUGGGUGUAAAGGGCGUGUAGGCGGAGCGGCAAGUCAGAAGUGAAAUCUCCGGGCUUAACCCGGAAACUGCUUUUGAAACUGUCGCCCUUGAGUAUCGGAGAGGCAGGCGGAAUUCCUAGUGUAGCGGUGAAAUGCGUAGAUAUUAGGAGGAACACCAGUGGCGAAGGCGGCCUGCUGGACGACAACUGACGCUGAGGCGCGAAAGCGUGGGGAGCAAACAGGAUUAGAUACCCUGGUAGUCCACGCCGUAAACGAUGGAUACUAGGUGUGGGGGGACUGACCCCCUCCGUGCCGCAGUUAACACAAUAAGUAUCCCACCUGGGGAGUACGAUCGCAAGAUUGAAACUCAAAGGAAUUGACGGGGGCCCGCACAAGCAGUGGAUUAUGUGGUUUAAUUCGACGCAACGCGAAGAACCUUACCGGGAUUUGACAUCCUACUAACGAGGCAGAGAUGCGUUAGGUGCCUUCGGGGAAAGUAGAGACAGGUGGUGCAUGGUUGUCGUCAGCUCGUGUCGUGAGAUGUUGGGUUAAGUCCCGCAACGAGCGCAACCCUUAUUGUUAGUUNUACGCAAGAGCACUCUAGCGAGACUGCCGUUGACAAAACGGAGGAAGGCGGGGACGACGUCAAAUCAUCAUGCCCCUUAUGUCCCGGGCUACACACGUAAUACAAUGGCGGUCAACAAAGGGAAGCAAAGCCGCGAGGCAGAGCAAAGCCCAAAAAGCCGUCUCAGUUCGGAUCGCAGUCUGCAACUCGACUGCGUGAAGUUGGAAUUGCUAGUAAUCGCGGAUCAGCAUGCCGCGGUGAAUACGUUCCCGGGCCUUGUACACACCGCCCGUCACACCAUGAGAGUCGGGAACACCCGAAGUCCGUAGUCUAACCGCAAGGGGGGCGCGGCCGAAGGUGGGUCUGAUAAUUGGGGUGAAGUCGUAACAAGGUAGCCGUAUCGGAAGGUGCGGCUGGAUCACCUCCUUUCU